AAAAAAAAAAAAAAAAAGUCGUGAUGAGAAAAGUGACUGCAUUGUAAUCACAAUUGCAUAUGUUUUAUUGUGCAAAAAGAAUUACAUCCAAAUAAGUAAUGAGAAAUACAAAGGUAAUGUUGAAUACAUUGUAAUGAAGAAAUUUUACUUAACCAAACACUGUAAUUAAAUCAGUAAUGUAAUUCUCAUUACAUUAUAGUAUUGAUUACAGUGAACAAAACAUAGCCUAAAUGCAUUAGGCUUGAUCUACUAGCUCAGCUUCUCAAGUGAUACACACAACAGAAGCCUAUCAAAAGUCCUAAAAAAAAACAAUAUAUGCCCUAAUAUAUGAUUUCUUUAUCCUUUUGAAUUCACAACAGAUUUAACCCAUAGGAGAAAACUAUAAUAAUCUCCAGAAAGAUCUGAACCCAGCUUAAAUCAUAUAACAAAGGCUUUAGAUUUAUAUUCUUCUUCAACCUUGUAUAAAUUACAGCCACAAUUCUCACAUGGAGUUCACCUAUUUUAAUCUCCAAUUAGAUAAUAAGGGGAAAGGAUUGAGAUUUAUGCCUAACCUUACAAACCACAUAAAUUACAGUAAUAGUCCAUGAAAUUAUGGCAGAAGCAACAAUUUCCAACAAGUUAUCAAAACAAAUUUCUCCAAUUUUGAAUUAAAAAAUAAAAUUAGAAAGAAUAAUUAACAAAAAUGAAAAUUAAGAGAAGUACCU
rnacentral:misc_RNA from 1 species